GCAAAUUUUGUUAAACCAAAGAUUAAAUAUGGAAGACGAGACGAUCCCGAAGAGGAACACCUUAACUUAGACACUGCAAAUAAUAAUCCUCGAGCUUCAAUUAGUUUUCUCAAACGAAGUGGCUCUACCACAAAUAACAGUUUGGACUACUUUACAUAUUCGUGAAUAUUAACAUUACAAAAUUCAUAUCAGUGAAACACUAAGACCUGGCGAUGCUGAGAGACGCUUAUAAUUUUGUUACUAGUUGGAAAGUAAAGUUAAUGAAGAUGCCGACUUCCUAAAUAAAAUUAUAGUAACAGAUGGACUAUUUAAUAGACAAAACGAACACUAUUGGACAAUAGAAAACCCAAGGCAGAAUCAAGAAGUAAGACCUCAGGAACGAUAAUCAUUUAAUGUAUGGAUGGUAUAUGGCACAACAAAAUUAUCGGCCCGUUUUUUCUUGAAGGAAAUCUAACUUCCGAAAGAUAUGCAGAAUUAAUAAGGACCAAUAUAAUAGAUUCCUUAAUGGAAGAACCUUUGGACGUAUUACGUCACCUAUGGUAAAAACAGGACGGUGCACCAGCCCAUAAUGGACGAUGCGUUACCACCAAUUUAUUAAAUGAAUUGUUCCCUAACAAAUGGAUUGGAAACCAAGGACCAGUACGUUGGCCCGCUAGAAGCCCCGACCUAAGCCCUUUGGAUCACUUUUUUUGGGCAUUUCUUCAAAACACGCCACAAAAUCCUGAAGCCUUACGUCAAGACCUAACAAGGGAGAUCAGGGCUAUGCCCACAAGAAGUAAUAUGCAUGCAUCCAAGCAGACGGAUUACUAUUUGAAUAUUUCCUUUAAUUCUGGUAUUUUUGAACCUCUUUUUAUGUUAGUGUUGAAAUUUUUUUUACUAAUGCGUUAAUAUAAAAAAAAAGGUGUUUGUUUUUAAUCCCAUUAAAAAUAUAUUUUUGUCUUUCUCUUUAA